UUUCCGGUUGAUCCUGCCGGACCCCACUGCUAUCGGGGUGGGACUAAGCCAUGCAAGUCGAAGGUCCCCGGCUCCGGGGGCCUGGCAGACGGCUCAGUAACACGUGGCCAACCUGCCCUCGGGAGGGGGAUAACCCCGGGAAACUGGGGUUAAACCCCCAUAGGCGGCGAGAUCUGGAAGGACUCGCCGCUGAAAGUGGUGCACGGGGAUGCUCCGUGCACCAGCCCGAGGAUGGGGCUGCGGCCCAUCAGGUUGUUGGCGGGGUAACGGCCCGCCAAGCCUAUAACGGGUACGGGCCCUGAGAGGGGGAGCCCGGAGAUGGGCUCUGAGACAAGAGCCCAGGCCCUACGGGGCGCAGCAGGCGCGAAACCUCCCCAAUGCCCGAAAGGGUGAGGGGGUCACCCCGAGUGCCGGCCUCGUGCCGGCUUUUGCCGGGUCUAAAUAGCCCGGCGAAUAAGGGGGGGGCAAGACGGGUGUCAGCCGCCGCGGUAAUACCCGCCCCCCGAGUGGUGGGGACUAUUACUGGGCUUAAAGCGCCCGUAGCCGGCCGGGUGUGUCCUCCGUCAAAUCCACGGGCCUAACCCGUGGGCUGCGGAGGAUACUACCCGGCUUGGGGGUGGAAGAGGGCGGCGGUAUUCCCGGGGUAGGGGUAAAAUCCUCUGAUCCCGGGAGGACCACCAGUGGCGAAGGCGGCCGCCCAGGACACGCCCGACGGUGAGGGGCGAAAGCUGGGGGAGCAAACGGGAUUAGAUACCCCGGUAGUCCCAGCUGUAAACGAUGCGGGCUAGGUGUCGGGUGGGCUACGGGCUCACCCGGUGCCGAAGGGAAACCAUUAAGCCCGCCGCCUGGGGAGUACGGCCGCAAGGCUGAAACUUAAAGGAAUUGGCGGGGGAGCACCACAAGGGGUGGACGUUGCGGCUUAAUUGGAGUCAACGCCGGG
rnacentral:rRNA from 1 species